rnacentral:sRNA from 1 species
GCUUAUUGGAAUUGGCAUUUAGUAGAAGGCAAGAAAGU